GACGAACGCUGGCGGCGUGCUUAACACAUGCAAGUCGAACGGAAAGGCCCUGCUUUUGUGGGGUGCUCGAAUGGCGAACGGGUGAGUAACACGUGAGUAACCUACCCUUUACUUUGGGAUAACUUCAGGAAACUGGGGCUAAUAACGGAUAGGAGCUCCUGCUGCAUGGUGGGGGUUGGAAAGUUUCGGCGGUUGGGGAUGGACUCGCGGCUUAUCAGCUUGUUGGUGGGGUAGUGGCUUACCAAGGCUUUGACGGGUAGCCGGCCUGAGAGGGGGGACGGCCUCCUUGGGACUGCGGGACGGCGCAGCCUCCAACGGGAGGCAGCGGUGGGGAAUAUUGCACAGUGGGGGGAAGCCUAAUGAAGCAACGCCGCGUGCGGGAUGUCGGCAUUCGGGUUGUAAACCGAUUUCGCCUGUGACGAAGCGUGAGUGACGGUAAUGGGUAAAGAAGCACCGGCUAACUACGUG
rnacentral:rRNA from 1 species